rnacentral:rRNA from 1 species
GAGGGUGUUUCGGGCGCGAUGCCGGUCUAAGUUCCUUGGAACAGGACGUCGUAGAGGGUGAGAAUCCCGUAUGCGACCGGCGAUCAAGCCCGUGCGAAGCCCCUUCGACGAGUCGAGUUGUUUGGGAAUGCAGCUCAAAACGGGUGGUAAAUUUCAUCUAAAGCUAAAUACCGGCCAGAGACCGAUAGCGGACAAGUAGAGUGAUCGAAAGAUGAAAAGCACUUUGGAAAGAGAGUCAAACAGUACGUGAAAUUGUUGAAAGGGAAGCGCUUGCGAUCAGACCGGUCCGCCGGCGAUCAGCCGCUGCUCGUCAGCGGUGCACUUGUCGGCGAUCCGGCCAGCAUCGGUUCGGGCGGCGGGACAAAAGCCCCGGGAACGUAGCUUCCCUCGGGGAGUAUUAUAGCCCGGGGCGCCAUGCCGCCCGCCCGGACCGAGGACCGCGC